UUUUUAAUUAUUGUUUUAGGUGAUAGGCUGAACUAAAAGGCAGACAAAACACAUCAGAAAAGGUCUGAAGGACACCGGAUUGUUGACUAUGCUUCAACAAAGACCUGACACAGCCUCAGUGGUCUUUCCCCAGCAUGAAGACAGCAUUCUUACUGCACAGGUAUUUCAAUGCAUUUAUAAGAUGCCGACUACAGUGACAAGGCGAGAUGGCAUGACAGUUAAUGCUGCUUUUAGGGGAGGCUGUAGCUCAGGAGGUAGAGUAGGUCAUAUACUGAUCAGCAGUUUGUUAAGAUCCCUGGCUCCCCGCUCUGUAUGAAUUUUUGGUAGGAAGUACUGAAAAUAAGAAUGUGAUUGUGAGAAUGAUAAUUGUUGUAGAAAAAACUGAAGGGUCUCGGGGAGUAGAAAAGUAAGAAUCAGUCCUUCUACCAUUAUACUUUAAGUGAGACAAAAUGAUUGAUUGAUAAUACUUUAUUCAUCCUGAGGGAAAUUCUUUUAAAGGCUGCCAGAUAAUCCAGUGCCAUCAUGAGCACCCCAUAGAAUACACCAUAUAUAAAUGCCAAGUGUCGGAAAAAAGUCCCUUCACAAAUUUAAUAUGUAAAAACACAGUUUUUAAGGCAGUUGCAUUCUCAAGUGUGUCUCUGAAAUCUCAUUUUAGGCUGUUCUUAGCCACAUUGUUUGGCCAGGAGAUGAGGGCGAUGAUGAAGACGAUGAUGAUCCACCUUACCCACUAAGCAUCCAAAUGCAAACAGUGGGAUUUCUGAAGACCUACAUUGAAACAGCCACUCCAUUCCAGCUCAGCCAGCUGAUGAGGUUUUGGGUCGGGUGGGAAAUUCCGACUGGUACCAUGAAGGUUGAAGUGGUCAAAGCAGACUACCUCAUAUCCUGUACAUGUUUUGGAAUGUUGCGUGUCCCUGGGCACUUCCACGAGUACAAUGUCUUUUCCAAACAUGUUGAUGAUUGCAUUGCAACUUGUGCCACAGGUUUCGGCCUUAUUUAAAAGCAAUUUGUAGACACUGGAUGUCGAAUAAACUUUACUAUGCUUGAAAAAUGUUUUACAUAGCCAAAAGUUUCACUGUUUACGUAGGCUUAUUGAUUUUUUGGGAAUAUUGUCAUGCGAGUUUAAAUAUGAAAAUUAAAGUUACAGUUCCCACCAUUAACAUUUAUAUUUGAAGUUAAGGAAUUAAUGAUUGUGUUAUUUAGGGUUGUUUUGUUAACUUAAAGUCAUUGUCAUGCAUCCGAUUCACAUCAUCUCUUUGUUUGAAGCAGUUUCAUGGAUUACAAGAGGUGUAAAAAAGUAGAUUAAUACUAAAGCUGCAUUAAAUGUUACACACAGUCCUGCUGUUGAAUAUAAUGUUAAUAAAAAUCUGCCACACUGUCAGCUGUGGUCAAGCUAUUUAAUUACCGCAUGCAGGACAGCUAACAUACAUCAAAACAUUACAGUUCUACAGUCAUGAGAGUUUUUGUCACUUUCAAGCUGUUUUCAAUAAAGUCAAGUUUUGAGCUGUGAAAAUUGGAUGAUAAUUUUCCUGAUUAUUUUUGAGGUUGUUUGAAAUCAUUUUGUAAAUCAAAGGAAAUAUGCUUGAACACCCCAAAUUAAAAUCCAGAAGUUGUCAAGGACAUGGAUUUGAAGCAGCAGUUAUUGGACUUAAAUACAAGUUACAUUCUAGACUGGUCGCCACUCCAUCAAAGUUAAGAAAAAGAAUUCUCGUCAGACUGUAAAUACAGUAGAUCAAUUGAAUAUUGCCUUUACAAUUAAAUAAAAAUAGAAAUCAGCAAGAAUAGGCAUGAUGGCACCAAAACAAAAUUUUAUUGAAGCUAUUAUUAAACAAAGGAUUUACAUGAGAACAGAAAGCAUUUAUCAUGUUACCUUUGCAUUAACUGACGGGUUAUCAGGAAAAUAUAACUGUAAACUCAUCAAACACAAAAUGCAAUAACAUUAAAAACUGAAAAUAAAUAUUGAUGCAGACUUUUACCAACUGUCCUUGGAUAAAAAAAACUGAUAAUUCAACAUAAUGUAAACAUCUGUUAGGGCAGCUUAUUUUCAACCAUCAUUCUAGAUAAAGCUAUAAAUCCUGCCUGUUCUCAAGAACGCCUUCCACAUACUGGACAAGGGAACUGUAAAUGUCAGCCCCAUAGGACAUAGAGGGUUCAUGGUAUUGAAAAGGUGUCUCACUCUUUCCAAAUCCUCAUUGUCAAGUGGAGACACAAGUUCUGGAAGGUAAAUACCAGUUUGGUCCAAGUCUGCAAUGUCCACAUCUGGAUACUCUGCCUGAAAUUAGACGCCAUCAAUUCAGGAAGUCUUUAAAAUACAUGCUUUAUUAAUUUUGUCAAUGAUAUACAUAUAUUUUUGUCUUCAAAAAAGCGAUGUGAAUAAUUUAGAGAUGUGUAAUCAUACAACAAUACUUUCAGGAGGAUCGAUUGGAUUCUGAGUCUUUCCAAUCUCCCAUAGUUGGUUGGAGUGUAGUUCCGCUCUGUCCUAAGAGUGUGAUUGUUCCAGCCUUUCAAUAAACGUCUCCAAAUCUGCUUGGAUACAUGGCAAAAACACAUACUGUGCACAAAAAAGGUCAGUACAGUUUGUUGGAUCCAAGACUUUGUCUUCCUCAAGUCUGUGAAGAAGAUCGUGGUAGAUGUUGGUGACAACAUUCCAAACGUCGCGCCACAGGCGCUCUAUCCUUUAAAACAAAAAAACAGACAAACAAACAUUAAAAAAAAAAAAAUCACAUACAGUGACAUUCAAUAAUUAACGCCAGAAUACUACACCUGGCAAUCAAAAUAUGUUUUGUUAUAAAUUAGGAAUACCUUUGGUUAUGCACGCUUUUGCCAGACAUAAAGCUUCCUCUACCACAGCCCCGAACUUCAACACGUAUCGAGCAAUGUCAACAUUCUCAACUCUUUGGUCUCCCCUCACUCUAAAAAUAUGAAAACAAAGGACACAGAAAUAACAGAGUAUCACAUUUUAGCAAUGUUUUACAUUCAACUGUAUAAUAUUUUUAGGGCUCUUUGAGCUCUUAUGCAGAGCUAUAUUUGUAAAUAUUUUCCCGAAAAGUACAAUGCACAACUAGUAAUGUUAACUUGCAAAGUGUUCUGUCACAGUCUGGCUGAGCAGCUGACUGUGUGAAGUAUGAAUAGUCGACCCAAGUGCAGACAAAAAUGGAAUGUGGAACAAAACUUGAAUGUUAACAGAAAGCAAGCCGUUCCUUAAGGCUGGUAAAACUAUACAAACAAAAGGCAGAGAUGAAGCUAAACUGGGCAGACUAAAGAUAAACAUAAAAAUCAAAACAUGAAACUCGCCGUGGAUACAAAGAUACCUAAAACCUGGAGCGUAGAAGCAGAGACGCAUGGAAACAUGGCACAAACGACAACAUACAACAUGACAAAGAAUGAACAGAAACACACAGACUAAAUACACACAAGUGUGAUUAGAGGAAAUGAAAACACAUGGGAAACAGCUGACGCUGAUUUGACAUAUUCGUUCAUAUUCAUCUGAUCUUCUACAUUUGUAACUCGCCCCUCAUACACUUCACUCUUCAUCAGCUUCCCUUCUGUCUGUUCCACAUGCUUGUCUAACUACAACGGGACUCAGAGCCGUUAGUUGUUCUGCUCCAAGACUUUGGAUGUACCUCAGCCAGAUCUCCGGACCACAAACUUUUUCACCACUUUUAAGUCACGUCUCAAAACCCAUCUAUUCAAAUUGCAUACACCUGAUUCUGUGCUAGUCCAUUUUAACUUGCUCAGCUUUUAUACUGUCAUGCUUGCUUUUUUCUUCUUUAACUUAUGUCUAAAUUUUAUUUGCAAUGUUUCAAUAUAUUGUGUUGUUGCUAUUGUAAGGUAACCUUAAG
rnacentral:lncRNA from 1 species